UCCAAUUUAAUUCGAAAAAAAAUAGUGUUUUGGGGUGAGAGAGGCUCGAACUCUCGACCUCAGGAUCACUCUAAGCUAUGAGACCUACGCGCUAGCCAACUGCGCCACCACCCCAUUUUGUUAAUCUUCAACCCAGUAACACUUUAAAACAUUUCCCGUUUUUUACAUCAGUUUUGGACCAUUUGGAUUAAACUCCAUCCAAUCCAAGGGUCAAAAUUGGGACAUAAUUUAAAUAAAAAAUUAAUCUGACUCCUCCCUUCCCUUCACCAUAUCAAUCUCUCCCUUCUUGCCGAUCAUGGCGCUUCACAUCCUUCGAUGGCAACCAGAUCUUUGUACUCAACUCGCAACGGCAACAAAUCUCCGUUGUUGACAAGCUCUCCACUCUUUCCCACCGCCGACUGUGAUAUGAAUUGCUGUGGAUAUAUGCAUUUUCAUAGAUUUCUUCUCUAUUUCUUAUGAUAAUAUCAUUUCGCUGAGUCCUUGUUUCUUGUGGAUGCAGGAAGUCAACCAUAUAAUUGAAAAACUUGGACGGAAGAAGGGAACAAAUUAUUAUCAUUUUCCCUGAGAAAGGAAAGGAACAGCCAAACAUUGAUCCAGGAUCUUGUAUAAUCAUAAUCGAUGAGCAUAUUAUCAUGCUGGAAUAAAAUGCGGUAGUAUAUGACAAGAAUCUACCCAUCUAACAUAAAUUACUUUUAACUUCUAUAGUUUCUAUCUUACAUAACUGAAGCUCAAUACAAACAAUUAAUAUUCACAUGUUUUUGCGCACAACCUAAAUAUUGCAGACAUCGUUUAUACAAUAAAUAUAUAUUUAUUAACACAAAGUCAUUGAAAAUAUUAAUUAACGAAUCAAUUGAAAUAUAAAAAUACAAAUUUUUAUCAGCAAUUUAUACAAUGAAUGUGAAGAAAAAUUGUGCCAGUUAUUCGCAUGAACAAUGAAUGUGUACAAUCAAAUUAUUUUCUUGGUUUGAUUACAGGGGAAAGACGAAGGGACACCAAUCGGCAAAGCCGGAGGUGGGAGAGAGUGUAGAGGUGUUGCCGUCGAAGGAUGAGAAGGGCCAAGUAUAUGAUCGGCAAGAAGGGAGAUAUUGAUAUCGAGAAGGGAGGAGACUGGAUUUUUAGGAUUAAUUUUUUAUUUUAAUUAUGCCCCAAUUUUCACCCUUGGAUUGAGUUUGAUCCAAUGUUCUAAAACUGGUGUAAAAAGCUGUGUCCAGGGAACGGGACCCUUUGUUUAUUAUUUAUAUUCUAGAGGGAUAUUUGCUUUAAAAGUUUGGAGUUUGUAAUCGGUAUGUACCCAAUUUUUUUUAGUGGUUAAAAUAAUCAAAGUGAGUAAAAUUGUAAUUCUAUCAUCACGUAAUGGAGAUCUAGCGGAUGAGCUGACGGAAUUACAAUUUUAAUAACUUUGGGUACUUUAGCUACUAAAAAAAAAGAUUUGGUCCAUACUGGUUACAAACGUCAAAUUUUGGGUACUUAUGCCACAAAUAUCCCUAUUAUCGAAUCAUAAAUUUUGGACCCUGAUUUCGUCUUGCUUGGUAGGGAGGUGGAAGACAUUAUGCUUUUUGAUAUGGACCAAUGAUUUGGAUUGUAAUGAUCCAACGAGGUGAGUUGAUAAAAGUUGGAUUAAUAUGGGCCAUUGAAUUAAUCGACGGCUGGGAGUAUCUUGUAAAAGAAACUACUCAACUGACAAUUUUUUGCAGUUACACUCUACUAUAGUAAGGGUAUGGCUAAUACAAUUUAUGGACAUAGACAAUCAGUCACAUUCCUCUUGUUUCAAAGAAAAACCCCUCAUUUUCUUCUUUUUGAUACCUCUCCUUUUUUUAUGAAACACAACCAUUACUCACUUUCUUUGAAAAAAAAAAUUCUUAGGUUCUUCAUGAAACUGACCGUGCAUAGUCGAAGGUUCAACUGAACUAACCGUGCAUAGUCGAAGGUUCAACUGAACUAAGCUGUUGAAGUUAUUGAGACACGGUACAUUUACCGAUCAGGAGUUCCACCAUUGAACAUACGAUGGAAAAAGUGGAACUGGGAUUAGCAUUUGAUGUUCUUGAGAUAUUGUUACAAAGGACACGUGGCAAUCCGAAACCGGUGUGGCCAGCAUACGUGGUGGAGGUGCGUGUCUCUUCAAGUGAGGCCACGCCCCGAGGUCAAUCCUCAGAGGGUGGAUAUCUCAAGUAAAGGCCACAGCCGUCGGGUAAAGACAGGGCACAGGUGUCCCUGCUUGAGGUCGUGCCCCGAGGACUAAUUAGUAGUCCUCAAGCUCUUUACAAGUAGUUGUCCUCCAGGUCAAGGACCUUGUCCUCGGGACCCAGGGGACCAGCCAGGUGUCAAUCAGUGUGUGUUUACAGCGUUAGAGGAUCGUUUGACAACCUUUUUGAGGAUCCAUCUGUUAUAUUAUUUCAUAUAAUAUAAUAUUAGAUUAAUUAAUGUGUCAAAAUGUGAUUUGUCACACCGUGUAACAUAUUAUUGAGAGUCACAAAAUUGGACACAUGUGUGUGUCCAAAUGUGACAUAUUUUGGAGUUACAAAAUCAGUUACAAAUUUGUAACUCCCAAAUAUUACCCAAUAAUGUGUAUAUUAUAUGUUACACAUUUGAGAUUGGAUUUUAUAAAGCCAUAUGAGAAAUGGCUGAUAGAGAUGUGAUUUUA